GCCGGGGCCAGUCGCAGCGGGGCGCGCGCAGCAUGGCGGAAGCGGAAGGGGGUUCUCCGCUCUUGUUGCCGCCGCCGCCACCCCCGCCCAGGAUGGCGGAAGUGGAGGCGCCGACGGCGGCCGAGACGGACAUGAAGCAAUAUCACGGCUCCGGCGGCGUCGCCAUGGACGUGGAACGGAGCCGCUUCCCCUACUGCGUGGUGUGGACGCCCAUCCCGGUGCUCACGUGGUUUUUCCCCAUCAUUGGCCACAUGGGCAUCUGCACAUCCACAGGAGUCAUUCGGGACUUCGCAGGCCCCUACUUUGUCUCGGAGGACAAUAUGGCCUUUGGAAAGCCUGCCAAGUACUGGAAGUUGGACCCUGCUCAGGUCUAUGCUAGCGGGCCCAACGCGUGGGACACGGCUGUGCAUGAUGCCUCUGAGGAGUACAAGCACCGCAUGCACAAUCUCUGCUGUGACAACUGCCACUCACACGUGGCAUUGGCCCUGAAUCUGAUGCGCUACAACAACAGCACCAACUGGAAUAUGGUGACGCUCUGCUUCUUCUGCCUGCUCUAUGGGAAGUACGUCAGGUCCCUUCCCAGGCAGAGAGGUUGAGUGAGUCGCCCAUGGUCCCCACAGCAUGGCCACAGCAGAGCCCAGACUCGUGAGCCAGCAUAGUGUUGGGGCCUUCGUGAAGACCUGGCUGCCGUUCAUCCUUCUCCUGGGCAUCAUCCUCACCGUCAGCUUGGUCUUUAACCUCCGGUGAUGGCUGCUCUGUGGCCCCGCACCCACCAGGGUCCCAAGGAAACAGCCGCCAUCCCUUUUGGUCCCAGAUUUUUUUCUCCUCACCCCAAAAGGCACGGUUGGGCCUGCUGUUGUGGACCGGGGAUCGGGGCUGGCAGGAUGGAAGGGCUGAGGACCAGCAUGAGGCGGGAGUUUGUUGUCUCCCUGCCUCUCAGAAGCACCCUGUUCCCUCCUCCCCAGGCCUGUGACUCCGGCCCUGGAAGCCCCUUUGUUCUUCUGUUGAAAGGCCUUGUCUUCCCUCUGUAAAGCUGCUCCCGUCACUGCCUGCUGGGGUCCUGCCUCAGCCCAGCCCAGAACGGGGAGAGGAGGACAUUUGGG